UUCUGCACAACUAGGUCAAGAAUGUAGAGUUUGCAAAUGAGUAUAUCAAAGAGACUCCCUCCUGUACUUAUGAAGGUAUUGAGUUGAGGUUUCACUGUUCCUGAAGUCUUUCUUCCCCCUGCCCAUGCUCCUGUUUCUUAUAUAUGACAUUAAGGAAGAAUCAUGGCAACACAUCUAAAACCUUCAAGUCUGGCCAUGGGAACACAGGAAGUAGAUAAUGUUGUACAGAUAUCAAAUGUGAAUAGAGAAAAGAAUUGUAUACUCCAUGUGGUCCUUUGCUUUAUUGAUGUUGGUAAUUUUUGAAUAACAUAAGGAUUUGGGAAUUUAUAAUUGAAGUAGGUACACCAUAUUUACACUGUUAUUCUCAGUCUAUAGAUGGGCCCACUUUGUUUCCAAAAUCAUAGCAGAGAAUGGAAUUUGAAAACAGAAUUUUUGAGUACAUAUUCAGGAAUAUUUAUAAUGUCCCCUAUGAAGGAAUGUACAAUAGGAAAGUGAAAUACAAUAUUCAUUCAACGAAAGGUGUGUAGGUAAAGUACUGGCCUUUAUAAAAUUAAGAAAACCUAGAAAAUUGAACUGUAUGUCACAGGAAUUGACCUGGGAAUAAAAAUAUUAUCCAGAAGAAUCUCCUCCACUCCAAGUUCCUAAAUAAUUUCUAUCCAUGCCAUGCCCCUGACUCAUUUUCUCCAUUCAGAAGUCACUAGCUUUAGAGAGAUGGAGAACGAAAGUUUCCACUGUGUCACAGGAGACAUACCUAAAUUGGCACCCUCAAAACUGGUUAAUGUAAGGAAAGCUGUUUAGAGUCAGGCCAUGGCAGUUCUCAGUGACAAUAUCAUUAGGCUCUCCCUGAAAAAUCUCUUGUAUCCUUGAGAGCACUAGCUUCUUCUGUGAUGUAAUAAGUGUUGUCCUGACUGCAAAUGCCUCUCAGAUAUUACUUCAGUACCUAUAGGUUUUACUAAUUGGCCUCAAAUUCAGGGGAAACAGUCAUUAGGGAGGGAGAACAAAGACGAUGAAGAAAUCAGAGAUGGGGAGAACGAAGCUGGUCUUCUGUCUUGGUAUAAAAGAAGGAAGAAAUACAUCAUCCCUGAGAAAUCUCACUGAAGCCUUGGUAGGAGUGGAAUAUAAAAACUCUCAAAACUCAUCCUGGCUGACAAUGUAGAUUAGACGCAUCAGAUGAAAUGAAUUGAAAAACUCUCCUGGGAAUGAAAGUGGUAAGGAAAUCACAUUGAUGUAUCCUAAAUGCAGUGCUAAGAGCAAUAUUCAGACUAGUCUGUGGAGAUGCUGCUGUCAUCAGAGACCACAGACAAUUAGUGGAGAAUGAUUCAGCAUUAAACUGGGAAUGGAAGAUGAUGGUUGAUAUUGUUCUAGUAGAUCUCACUACAUUAAAAA